CGCGUAGGUGGUUUGGUAAGCGAGAUGUGAAAGCCCCGGGCUUAACCUGGGAACGGCGUUUCGAACUGUCAGACUAGAGUGUGGUAGAGGGUAGUGGAAUUUCCUGUGUAGCGGUGAAAUGCGUAGAUAUAGGAAGGAACACCAGUGGCGAAGGCGGCUACCUGGACCAACACUGACACUGAGGUGCGAAAGCGUGGGGAGCAAACA
rnacentral:rRNA from 1 species